UACAGAGGGUGCGAGCGUUAAUCGGAAUUACUGGGCGUAAAGCGUGCGCUAGGCGGUUGGUUAAGUCUAGAUGUGAAAGCCCCGGGCUCAACCUGGGAAUGGCAUUGGAAACGUGGCUAGCUGGAGUGUGGGCAGGAGGGGGUGGAAUUCCGCGUGUAGCAGUGAAAUGCGUAGAGAUGCGGAGGAACACCGAUGGCGGAAGGCAGCCCCCUGGGCCAACACUGACGCUCAGGCACGAAAGCGUGGGGAGCAAACAGG
rnacentral:rRNA from 1 species